AGCUUCUGGAAUCGGGUGACUCUUU
rnacentral:piRNA from 1 species